rnacentral:lncRNA from 1 species
AAUUUGAAAUUUGAAAUUUGAAGUUUUUGAAAUUUGAAAUUUAAAAUUUAAAAUUUGAAGUUUUUGAAAUUUGAAAUUUGAAAUUUAAAAUUUGAAAUUUAAAAUCAAAAUUAAAUUUGAAUUUUAAAAUUUUGAAAUUUGAAAUCUAAAAUUUUAUGUUGAAAUUUAAAUUUUAUAAAUUGAUACAUCUUUGGAAGCCCAAAAUGGUGGAAUUUUUUUUCCUUUGGUUAAAGUAGAUUGUAAGUUUACUCCAUUUUUUGGUGUAUAGUAUAACUGUACUCCAAAAAUUACGUAAUUUUUUUUUCUUCCAAACACUUCAUAGGAUUAUUUUUCUACCACUAUGCUACAUUUUUAGAGGUAUCCAAACGGGGCCUUAGUAAAUUUACAAACCGAACGAAACCGAUAACC